CCGUCGAUAGCUCAGUUGGUAGAGCGGUGGACUGUAGAGGAAGCGACUGCUGUCAUCCACUAUAGGUCGCUGGUUCGAAUCCGGCUCGACGGA
rnacentral:tRNA from 1 species